rnacentral:rRNA from 1 species
GACGAACGCUGGCGGCGUGCUUAACACAUGCAAGUCGAACGGAAAGGCCCUGCUUUUGUGGGGUGCUCGAGUGGCGAACGGGUGAGUAACACGUGAGUAACCUGCCCUUGACUUUGGGAUAACUUCAGGAAACUGGGGCUAAUACCGGAUAGGAGCUCCUGCUGCAUGGUGGUGGUUGGAAAGUUUCGGCGGUUGGGGAUGGACUCGCGGCUUAUCAGCUUGUUGGUGGGGUAGUGGCUUACCAAGGCUUUGACGGGUAGCCGGCCUGAGAGGGUGACCGGCUACAGUGGGACUGGGGAACGGCCCAGAGUCCUACGGGAGGCAGCAGUGGGGAAUAUUGCACACUGGGCGGAAGCCGGAUGCAGCAACGCCGGGUGGGGGAUGACGGCCUUCGGGUUGUAAACCGCUUUCGCCUGUGACGAAGCGUGAGUGACGGAAAUGGGUAAAGAAGCACCGGCUAACUACGU